UGGGGAAUAUUGGACAAUGGGGGCAACCCUGAUCCAGCAAUUCUGUGUGCACGAAGAAGGUUUUCGGAUCGUAAAGUGCUUUCAGCAGGGAGGAAGGAAGUGACUGUACCUGCAGAAGAAGCGACGGCUAAAUACGUGCCAGCAGCCGCGGUAAUACGUAUGUCGCGAGCGUUAUCCGGAAUUAUUGGGCAUAAAGGGCAUCUAGGCGGCCCUGUAAGUCUAGGGUGAAAACCUGCGGCUCAACCGCAGGCCUGCCCCGGAAACUACAAGGCUAGAGUAUCGGAGAGGUGGACGGAACUGCACGAGUAGAGGUGAAAUUCGUAGAUAUGUGCAGGAAUGCCGAUGAUGAAGAUAGUUCACUGGACGGUAACUGACGCUGAAGUGCGAAAGCUAGGGGAGCAAACAGGAUUAGAUACCCUGGUAGUCCUAGCUGUAAACGAUGAUUACUGGGUGUGGGCAUGAAGAGUGUCCGUGCCGAAGCAAAUGCGAUAAGUAAUCCGCCUGGGGAGUACGGCCGCAAGGCUG
rnacentral:rRNA from 1 species